rnacentral:rRNA from 1 species
UACAGAGGGUGCGAGCGUUGUUCGGAAUUAUUGGGCGUAAAGAGCGUGUAGGCGGCCAGGUAGGUCCGUUGUGAAAACUGGAGGCUUAACCUCCAGCUGUCGAUGGAAACCAUCUGGCUAGAGUCCGGAAGAGGAGAGUGGAAUUCCUGGUGUAGCGGUGAAAUGCGCAGAUAUCAGGAAGAACACCCGUGGCGAAGGCGGCUCUCUGGGACGGUACUGACGCUGAGACGCGAAAGCGUGGGGAGCGAACAGG